CUGACGCCUACCCGAUGCCCCGGGUAGACAAAUUCCUGGAUCGUAUUGCCAGGGGGCGCUAUCUGACCACCACAGACCUGUGUAAGGGCUACUGGCAGAUCCCCCUGGCCGAGAAUGCUAUCCCCAAGUCGGCAUUCAUCACCCCAUUUGGCCUGUACCAAUUUAAGGUCAUGCCUUGUGGGAUGAAGAAUGCCCCGGCUACCUUCCAGUGGAUGGUGGAUAGACUCCUGGAUGGCUACCAAGAAUUUGUCUGUGCAUACUUGGACGACAUUGCGAUCUACAGUGGGUCCUGGGAGGAACACCUGGUUCAUGUAGGGGUGGUACUGGAUAAGAUUCGGG